rnacentral:rRNA from 1 species
UACGUAGGAGGCGAGCGUUGUCCGGAGUUACUGGGCGUAAAGGGUGCGUAGGCGGCCGCGCGCGUGGCGGGUGAAAUCUCUCGGCUUAUCCGGGAGGGUGCUUGCCAGACGGCGUGGCUUGAGGGACGGAGAGGGGCGUGGAAUUCCGGGUGGAGCGGUGAAAUGCGUAGAGAUCCGGAGGAACACCGACGGCGUAGGCAGCGCCCUGGCCGUUUCCUGACGCUGAUGCACGAAAGCUGGGGGAGCAAACAGG